rnacentral:rRNA from 1 species
UGGCGGACGGGUGAGUAACGCGUGGAUAACCUGCCGUAUACAGGGGGAUAACACUUAGAAAUAGGUGCUAAUACCGCAUAAGCGCACGGUUCCGCAUGGAACAGUGUGAAAAACUCCGGUGGUAUACGAUGGAUCCGCGUCUGAUUAGCCAGUUGGCGGGGUAACGGCCCACCAAAGCGACGAUCAGUAGCCGGCCUGAGAGGGUGAACGGCCANAUUGGGACUGAGACACGGCCCAAACUCCUACGGAAGGCAGCAG